rnacentral:tRNA from 1 species
ACCUGACUAGCUCGGUCGGUGGAGCGUGGGACUCUUGAUCUCGGGGUUGUGAGUUCAAGCCCCAUGUUGGGAG